rnacentral:rRNA from 1 species
AUUGAACGCGGGCGGCAGGCAUAACACAUGCAUGUCGUUCGGAGCGGCGGAAUGGUGAGGAAUGCCUAGGAAUCUGUCUGGUAGUGGGGGAUAACGUCCGGAAACGGGCGCUAAUACCGCAUACUAUCAGAUGAGCCUAGGUCGGAUGAGCUAGUUUGGGGGGUAAAGGCCUACCAAGGCGACGGUCCGUAACUGGUCUGAGCGGAGGAUCAGUCAAACUGGAACUGAUACAUGGGCCAGAAUCCGACGGGAGGCAGCAGUGGGGAAUAUUGGACAAUGGGCGAAAGCUUGAUCCAGCCAUGCCGCGUGAGUGAAGAAGGGCUCGGGAUUGGAAGGCACUGUAGGUUGUGAGGCGUUACCAACACAAUACGCACCGGGUAAGUUCGUGCCAGCCGCCGCGGUAAUAC